rnacentral:rRNA from 1 species
GACAGGGGAUGCAAGCGUUAUCCGGAAUGAUUGGGCGUAAAGCGUCUGUAGGUGGCUUAAAAAGUCUCCUGUCAAAGAUCAGGGCUUAACCCUGGGCCGGCAGGAGAAACUCUUAGGCUAGAGUUUGGUAGGGGCAGAGGGAAUUCCCGGUGGGAGCGGUGAAAUGCGUAGAGAUCGGGAGGAACACCAAAGGCGAAAGCACUCUGCUGGGCCACUACUGACGCUGAGAAGCGAAAGCAUGGGGAGCGAACAGG